rnacentral:misc_RNA from 1 species
GAAAUGCGAUAAGUAGUGUGAAUUGCAGAAUUCAGUGAAUCAUCGAAUCUUUGAACGCACAUUGCGCCCUUUGGUAUUCCUUAGGGCAUGCCUGUUCGAGCGUCAUCUAAACCUUCAAGCCCUGCUUGGUGUUGGGUGCCUGUCCCGCCUCCGCGCGCGGACUCACCUCAAAUCCAUUGGCGGCCCCCGCGUCGGCCACGAGCGCAGCAGAAACGCGAACUCGUGAGCCCGUCCGGGCGGCUCCCAGAAGCUACACCCACCCAGUUUGACCUCGGAUCAGGUAGGGAUACCCGAUGAACUUAAGC